ensembl:snRNA U7 U7 small nuclear RNA
AGCUGUUCCAGCUCUUUCAGAAUUUGUCCAGCACGUUUUCCGGUUGUCACUCCCAGGUGGGCUCGGGAAGAGGCAU